rnacentral:rRNA from 1 species
GGUCAAGCUGCAAAGGGCAGACGGUGGAUGCCUUGGCGUCAGGAGGCGAUGAAGGACGUGGUAAGCUGCGAAAAGCUGCGGGGAGGCGCAAAGCAGCCUUUGAUCCGCAGAUCUCCGAAUGGGGCAACCCGGCCAGGGUCAUGCCUGGUCAUCCUCCGCUGAACACAUAGGCGGCAGGAGGCGAACCCGGGGAACUGAAACAUCUCAGUACCCGGAGGAAGGGAAAUCAACCGAGACUCCCCUAGUAGCGGCGAGCGAACGGGGAACAGCCUAAACCGGUGGGAAGCAAUUCCUUCCGGGGUCGUGGGACUCCAAAAUGGGACUUGAAAGGGUAGGAGAACGGUCUGGAAAGGCCGGCCGGAGAGGGUGAUGGCCCCGUAUCCGAAACCCCGAAGAGCCCUGGGAUGUUCCCGAGUACCGCGGGGCACGUGAAACCCCGUGGGAAUCUGGGUGGACCAUCAUCCAAGGCUAAGUACUACCUGACGACCGAUAGUGAACCAGUACCGUGAGGGAAAGGCGAAAAGAACCCCGGCGAGGGGAGUGAAACAGACCCUGAAACCGUUUGCCUACAUCCAGUGGGAGCACUAUGGAGCUUGCUCCAAGUGUGACUGCGUACCUUUUGUUUAACGGGUCCGCGAGUUACGCCUCAGCAGCAUGGUUAAGCCGACAGGUGUAGCCGUAGCGAAAGCGAGUCUGAACAGGGCGUUUGUUGCUGGGGGUAGACCCGAAACCGGGUGAUCUACCCAUGGCCAGGUUGAAGCUCGGGUAAAACCGAGUGGAGGACCGAACCGUAGAAGGUUGAAAACUUCCCGGAUGAGCUGUGGGUAGGGGUGAAAGGCCAAUCAAACCCGGAGAUAGCUGGUUCUCCCCGAAACAUAUUGAGGUAUGGCCUCGCGUAUCACCGCCGGAGGUAGAGCACUGGAUGGGCUAGGGGUCCCACCAGAUUACCGAACCCAACCAAACUCCGAAUGCCGGUGAGUGCAGCGCGGGAGUCAGACUACGGGCGAUAAGGUUCGUGGUCGAGAGGGAAACAGCCCAGACCGCCAGCUAAGGCCCCCAAGUCCGUGCUAAGUGGGAAAGGAAGUGGGAGUGCACAGACAACCAGGAGGUUGGCUUAGAAGCAGCCAUCCUUUAAAAAGUGCGUAAUAGCUUACUGGUUCAGUGAACCCGCGCCGAAAAUGUAACGGGGCUCAAGCACGGCGCCGAAGCUGCGGGAUCACACUUCGGUGUGAUCGGUAGGGGAGCGUUCCAGUUGCCUGUGAAGCUCGACCGAGAGGACGGGUGGAGGUUCUGGAAGUGCCUAUGCGGACACGAGUAGCGAUAAACAGGGUGAGAAACCCUGUCGCCGUAAGCCUAAGGGUUCCUGAGUAAAGCUAAUCUGCUCAGGGUUAGUCGGCCCCUAAGCCGAGGGCGAAAGCCGUAGGCGAUGGGAAACGGGUUAACAUUCCCGUACCACCCGCGUCUGUUCGACCGAAGAGGGGACGGAGAAGGGUAGCCGGGCCGGGUGUUGGACAUCCCGGUUCAAGCCUGUAGGCGGGAGACGUAGGCAAAUCCGCGUCUCCAUUCAACGCCGAGAGGUGAUGUCUAGAGCUUCGGCUCGCAAAGCCGGUGAUCCCAUGCUUCCAAGAAAAGCCUCGCAGGGAGGACGUCGGGUGACCGUACCGUAAACCGACACAGGUAGGCGGGCAGAGCAUGCCAAGGCGCUUGAGAGAACCCUGGUUAAGGAACUCGGCAAAUUGACACCGUAACUUCGGGAGAAGGUGUGCCUCGGCUGGUGACGGGACUUGCUCCCCGAGCUGACUGAGGUUGCAGAGAGCAGGGGGUAGCGACUGUUUACCAAAAACACAGGACUCUGCGAAGUCGCCAAGACGACGUAUAGGGUCUGACGCCUGCCCGGUGCCGGAAGGUUAAGGGGAACUGUUAGCUUUCGGGCGAAGCAGAGAACCGAAGCCCCGGUAAACGGCGGCCGUAACUAUAACGGUCCUAAGGUAGCGAAAUUC